CCAUCACCGUAUAGCGAGCUGACGAGGUUAUUCCGAGUGUUCCCUGCUAAAGGGAUCUUUUGCCAGCUCUAAAAAUGCUGGAGAAUAAGGGGUGGGCAAGCCUGGUGUCAGCCGCCGCGGUAAUACCAGCACCCCGAGUGGUCGGGAUGAUUAUUUGGCCUAAAGCAUCCGUAGCCGGCGCAUCAAGUCUUCCGUUAAAUCCACCUGCUCAACAGAUGGGCUGCGGGAGAUACUGCUGCGCUAGGAGGCGGGAGAGGCGAGGGGUAUUCCAUGGGUAGGGGUAAAAUCCUCUGAUCCAUGGAGGACCACCAGUGGCGAAGGCGUCUCGCCAGAACGCGCUCGACGGUGAGGGAUGAAAGCUGGGGGAGCAAACCGGAUUAGAUACCCGGGUAGUCCCAGCUGUAAACGAUGUAGGCUCGGUGAUGGACUGGAUUCGAUCCAGCCCAGUGCCGCAGGGAAGCCGUUAAGCCUACCGCCUGGGGAGUACGGUCGCAAGACUGAAACUUAAAGGAAUUGGCGGGGGAGCACCACAAGGGGUGAAGCCUGCGGUUCAAUUGGAGUCAACGCCGGGAACCUUACCGGGGGCGACAGCAGUGUGAAGGUCAAGUCGAAGACUUUACCAGACGAGCUGAGAGGAGGUGCAUGGCCGUCGCCAGCUCGUGCCGUGAGGUGUCCUGUUAAGUCAGGUAACGAGCGAGACCCCUACCCCUAGUUGCUACUAUUACUCUCAGGAGUAGCAGGGCGAAUUAGGGGGACCGCCGUUGUUAAAACGGAGGAAGGAGGGGGCUACGGCAGGUCAGUAUGCCCCGAAACCCCCGGGCUACACGCGGGCUGCAAUGAUGGGGACAAUGGGUUCCGACUUUGAAAAAAGGAGGCAAUCCCCAAACCCUAUCCCAGUUAUGACUGAGGGCUGAAACUCGCCCUCACGAAUAUGGAAUCCCUAGUAAUCGCGUGUCACCAUCGCGCGGUGAAUACGUCCCUG
rnacentral:rRNA from 1 species